UUUAAGAUGAUGGAUCAAAUGUAAAACCCUAGAAAUUGGGGGUUUCGUUAUGCAUACCUUUGAGGAUCGAAAUCAAACUGCUCUGGAGAAUGUUUUUAGCUGGGAUUUGAGCGAAACCCUAGCUGAAAUCGAGCUCCGACGAGCAAAGGAAGUGGAUCCAGGAGGAGAGCUGGGCGCGGACGCUACAAUUCCUUGGAUGGUAGCUAGCAGGGCAACAGAUGACAACUGAAAAUAUCCGGCUAGAGAAGUAAAAGCAUCAAUGGCGACGAUGAGCACUUCUUUAGAGGAAUAGAAGAGGCAAAUAAAAGAGAGAAGCGCUACAGAGCAAUAAACACAUUAUGAAAGCUCUCUAGGAGAUCUACGGAGG